rnacentral:miRNA from 1 species
UAAAUGCAUUAUCUGGUAUGAUA